rnacentral:rRNA from 1 species
UACGGAGGGGGCUAGCGUUGUUCGGAAUUACUGGGCGUAAAGCGCACGUAGGUGGCUUUGUAAGUUAGAGGUGAAAGCCCGGGGCUCAACUCCGGAAUUGCCUUUAAGACUGCAUCGCUAGAACGUCGGAGAGGUAAGUGGAAUUCCGAGUGUAGAGGUGAAAUUCGUAGAUAUUCGGAAGAACACCAGUGGCGAAGGCGACUUACUGGACGACUGUUGACACUGAGGUGCGAAAGCGUGGGGAGCAAACAGGG